GAUUAAUCGGAGACGCAAACGGCAGGGACUAGUUGAACUACCUUUACAUUAAUCAUUUUCUUUGACAUAUUAACCUUUUCAACUUAAAUAUAUAAACUAUUCUCUUAUCUAUAUAAAUAAACUUUUUUUUUUUUUUGGUCGAAUCUAUAUAAAUAAACUUAUUCACCAGAAAUCCACCUGCCCCUAGUGUUGACCAGCUUAUAGUUGAUGGAAGUUAUGUAAUAUCUCUUUUUACUCGUAAGUUAUAUAAUAGUUUAACACGAACUUUAAUUUACGAGAUUAUUAUAGUUAGAACGGGGAGAACUACACUUAUAAUAUAUAAUAUAUUAUAUAGGGCAAAUCUUCAAAAUAACACCUUUCUAAGUUUAUAUCACAAAAAUAGCACUCAAAAACUAAAAUGACCAAAAUAACACUUUUCUAAGUUUAUCAUUUGAAAAUUUUAAUUUUUUUAUUUUUCAAAAUUUGAAAUCUUAUCCCCAAAACCUCAUUUCUCAACUCUAAACCCUAAACCCUAAACUCUAAAUCCUAAACCCUAAACUCUAAACCCUAAACCCUAAACCAUAAACCCUAAA
rnacentral:lncRNA from 1 species